UUUUUUUUAGGCAGUUAAGCUGCCUUAUGCGAGCACCCUGGAUUUGGGUUCCCCCCAGGAAAUUUUUGAAAAAGUGCCAUUGCUCUGAUCUGGCGGGUCUGGUAGAUUCUUUAUAACUAAUUAGACAUUUUUUUCACACUUUUUGUUAUAAAAAACAAUAAAUAUAAGAAAGAUUACCUUAAAUGAUCGUCGAUUUUCCCAAAACAAUUGAUGUUCCCCAUUUGAAAAAGUGCUAAUUAAAAAGUUAAGCAUAGCUUUUUAUCGUCUGUGCUUUUGAUGAAGAUGUAAGUGAACUAUUGUAAGAAUAAUUUCAUCGCCGAAAAUGUUUGUAAUGAAGGCAUUAAAAUUUGCCAAAUGACAUGAAUAUGGCGCAUGAAUAUUAUUUUGCGGCUAUUACGCCGUUGAAUUUGGUGGAUUCCAUCCUACUAAAGGUAAAUAUUUAAAAGCAUUGUCUUACUUCCUCUCUGUAUAAGUCUUGAAUUUGUAAGAAUACUUGAUUAUUUUAUUUCUACAUUGUAUGAAGAUAUGUAUUUUAUUUAAUUAUUUAAUGCAAGCUGAUGUUAUUAUUUGUCAUCGUGUCUCUCCGUACUUGCUAUGUAUCGUGUAAACCCCCAAACAUUAUACUCGAUCAGGGCCAUUGCAAUUUCAAUCGGGACCUCAUUUGAAUACGUAUUUAUAGAUUUUGUCGAUGUCAAUUAAGGUCAUUUCAAGAUGGUUUCCUUUAUCGUGUUUUAGUUAAAAGUAAAAUCACAAAAAUACUGAACUUAAACGAAAAUCUAAAGUUGACAUGGUUAAUUAAUUGCUUUACACA
rnacentral:lncRNA from 1 species